GAAGUCUCUCGGGCCGUAAAAUUCUGUCGUUACAGAAGAACAAGUGCUAGCUGAAUAAGUUGGCAUUUGACGGUACCUAACCAGAAAGCCCCGGCUACUUACGUGCCAGCAGCCGGGGUAAUACGUAGGUGGCAAGCGUUAUCCGGAAUUAUUGGGCGUAAAGCGCGCGCAGGUGGUUUCUUAAGUCUGAUGUGAAAGCCCACGGCUCACCCGUGGAGGGUCAUUGGAAACUGGGAGACUUGAGUGCAGAAGAGGAAAGUGGAAUUCCAUGUGUAGCGGUGAAAUGCGUAGAGAUAUGGAGGAACACCAGUGGCGAAGGCGACUUUCUGGUCUGUAACUGACACUGAGGCGCGAAAGCGUGGGGAGCAAACAGGAUUAGAUACCCUGGUAGUCCACGCCGU
rnacentral:rRNA from 2 species